GUACUCCCACCUCUGAUGCUCGCCUUCAAGACUUCAAGUGCUGCACCGUUCCUGUGGAACUCACUUCCUUCCUCCGUUAGAUACUCACCAGUCUCCACUCCUUCAAAAAAAUCAUUAAAAACCCACUUCUUCAUGAAAGCGUAUCAAUUAAACUGUUAAUAGCUCCAGACUGAUUCCGCUCUUGUAACGGUCAUUUGUGUAAUACUAUCCUUAUCUUUUGUGUCACUUUACCCCACUCCCUCUAGCAUGUAAGCUCAUUGAAUCCAAAAGAGGUAAUAAGUUUACCAAGAGAGGCAGUAUAGAGAAAAUAGAAGGGGACCAAGGACAGACCCUUGGGGAACUCCAACCGAGAGAGGACGAGGGGAGGAGGUAUCCUUGGAAAAGGAGACACUGCAUGAGCAUGGGGAGAGAUAGGAGGAAAACCAAGAGAGGACAGAGUCACAGAGACCGAGCGAUUGAAGAGUUUGAAGGAGGAGAGCAUGAUCAACGGUGUCAAAGGCAGCAGAGGAGAAUUAAUAUGGAGUAGUGACCUUUGGAUUUAGCGGAGAUUAGGUCAUUAGUCACUUUGAUAAGAGCAGUCUCAGUAGAGUGGAGAGGGCGGAAGCCAGACUGAAGAGGGUCAAGGAGAGAGUUGGAAUUAAGGAAGC